UCAGGGGGUGAAUUUCCGCUUGGCGUCCUCGGCAGGCUUCAGAGUGUUUCAUAAUGGAAACCAGAAGGGGUUUGACACUCCGGAGGAAACUGAAUCCAACAUCCAAAGAUAUAUCCUGAAAACUUCAGCUGCCACUUGAUAUCUGUGGCUCAGACGUGUGUAUUUCUAUUCGUUUAGCCUGCUGUUUGCAAGUCCGCUAGGCUUUGCUAUAAACACAUGUACAAGUUGCUUGCUAUCAGUUGUCUAUAAAGUGUGUUGUUAUGAUGCCCACAGGACUGGUUGUAUAUUAGUGAGGCUGAUAUCCUAUAUGCACUAUCCUUAAUGUACUGUAGCAUUGUGUAGCACAAUAUCCUGAAUAUCUCAUGUGGCAAGCAGAAUUUGUUUGUAUAGCACUAUGCAAACAUCUUAGCUUAAUGUUGGCAAUCCUUUUUUGCACUUUUUUAAAAAACUGUUUUUACUCAUAAGGGCGGCAUAAUGGUGGUGGGUGAAUGUAUACACAUUUUACAUUUGCGUUGUCGCCAUACAGUUUGUAUGUUUGCAUGUUGCAUGUUCCGCGUGGGAUUCCUCCAGUAUUUCCGGUUUCCUCCCACAGUCCAAAGACAUGCAGGUAGGCUAAUUGGAGACUCUAAAUUGCCCAUGUGUGCCCUGCGAUUACUUCUCACCCCAUGCAUGCUGGGAUAGGCUCCAGCACCCCCCUGUGACCCUGACCAGGAUGUUGAUGGUUGUGUCGGUGUUGAUGGAUGUUCAGUCAUAAUGUCACAUAACAGAGGAGCUGGAUGGAGCACCUUUUCCUUUCUGAUCCCUGCAGUAUUUGAUGGGGAAAAGGCUCCACCACCACACACAUCCACCGACGUCCUGGACUGUCAAGCGUUGAGUGAACUGGCAGAAGGCUGUGGUGGAGACUGUAACCUAAUGCAACUACAAUGCCCAUAUUUUGUUUGUCUUCUGCUUUGUGACGCACAACCAAGGAUUGAAACAGAAAACCUUCUUCUGUCUGAAGAGCCAAGUUACUAUCCUUAUCAUUGAUGAUGAGAGCCUCAGGCUUUUGUGAAUACCCACCCCCCCCCACCCCCCUUCACCCCACCCUCCCUUGUAUCUGGUCCUGUUCAUGUACCUCCUCAAAUUCGCCGUGAUUGUCACUGAUGCUUCCAUGUGAAAGUCAGACUGCCCCCCCCCCCCCAAAUAAAGCCUCUCGAGUUUCCCUCACAAUCACCUCUAUUGUUUCAGUCCUUAACAGGAGGGGGGGGGGGCAUCUGGAAGGAACAGAGCAAUGAGGUUUAAUGUGGACCCCAGAGUGCAGUUUGGUAAAUAUCCAGAGAGAGAAAGGCCAUAAAUUGGUUAAGUAACAGCCUAUUUUCACAAAUCUCUCUUCAAUAGUUGGCUAGAAGUCAAAACAGGUUACUCAGUCUGUUUCUCCAGUAUUUUUAUGUUUUAAUGGCAUAAACAUGAAUAUGAUAUAUAUGUUCCUUGUGAAGCUAUCUCUGAACAGACAAUGUGUCAGCUGAAAUCCAUGGUGUACCAAGGUUACGCUGGUUACGCAAUUUUAUUUGUAUUUCCCAACCUCAAAUUUAGUCAAGUUGUGCAGCUGAUUCCACAGAAAAUCUGAGUUACACUUUGUUCUGACUUACAAGCUGCCACGUAAGUUUAUGAAAGAAAAAAGCCCAUGUAUGUUCCAGAAGAGGGACUCUGCAAUAAAACAGUUGUAAAAUUGUACCUGUGGACAUGCUGUAUAACUGUACUCAAAGUCAAACUGUAAAACUGUACGCAAAGUCAUACUGUAACACUGUACUCAUGAUCAUCCUGUAAAACUGUACUCAAAGUCAUACUGUAAAACUGUACUCAAAGUCAUGCUGUAUAACUACUCAAAAUCAUGCUGUAAAACUGUACUCAUGGUCAUUCUGUAAAACUGUACUCAAAGUCAUGCUGUAUAACUGUACUCAAAGUCAUGCUGUAAAACUGUACUCAUGGUCAUUCUGUAAAACUAUACUCAAAGUCAUACUGUAAAACUGUACUCAUGGUCAUUCUGUAAAACUGUACUCAAAGUCAUAGUGUAAAACUGUACUCAUGGUCAUACUGUAAAACUGUACUCAUGGCCAUACUGUAAAACUGGACUCAUGGUCAUACUGUAAAACUGUACUCAAAGUCAUACUAUAAAACUGUACUGUACGCUAUAGUUAUAACUGCUUAAUGAUAAAAGCUGCAGUUGAGCAUGUUUUACCAUCUGAUAUUCAACUGCAAGCUUUUCACAUUUUCUGUAGCACCUGUUGUUACGUCCCAGGGCCGUAACACCUGUCAUGGAUAUGUAAUGCGAUAUAUGAGUCCUGCAUUAUUAGACAUUUUGUGGUCAAUUAAAUCUAAAUUCAGCACAGUUCAGUAAAUUGAAAAAUGACCAAGAUGUUCUAUGAGGAUUUUUUCAUCAAUAAAUUGAAACCCAGUUAAUUUCCUGAUUUGACAGAAUUGAAAUUAAUUGACUUCAAACACUGGUCCU